rnacentral:rRNA from 1 species
GGUCAAGCGAACAAGAGCGCAGGGUGGAUGCCUUGGCACUAAGAGCCGAUGAAAGACGUGAUAAGCUGCGAAAAGCUUCGGGGAGGAGCAAAUAUCCUACGAUCCGGAGAUAUCUGAAUGGGGAAACCCGGCUGAGCAAACCUCAGUCACCGUAUGGUGAAUACAUAGCCAUGCGGAGGGAACCCGGUGAACUGAAACAUCUAAGUAGCCGGAGGAAGAGAAAGAAAAAUCGAUUUCCUAAGUAGCGGCGAGCGAACGGGAAAGAGCCUAAACCGGAAUGCGUGCAUUCCGGGGUUAUGGACCGCAAAAAGUGACAUGAAAGCUAGCAGAACGGUUUUGGGAAAGCCGGCCAGAGAGAGUGAAAGCCUCGUAUGUGAAAGCGGAAGUGAGCGAGCGGGAUCCAAAGUACCACGAGACACGUGGAACCUUGUGGGAAGUCGGGGGGACCACCCCCCAAGGCUAAAUACUACUUAGUGACCGAUAGCGCAUAGUACUGUGAAGGAAAGGUGAAAAGAACCCCGGGAGGGGAGUGAAAGAGAACCUGAAACCCUGUGUUUACAAACUGUGGAAGCACAUUAUUGGUGCAACCGCGUACUUUUUGUAGAACGGUCCGGCGAGUUACGUCGGCUGGCGAGGUUAAGGACG